ACCUCACUCAGGAUGAUGCCCUCCAG
rnacentral:piRNA from 1 species